CCGCGCAAGCCGGGGAGAUAGCGGUGCCCUGAACCUGCAAUCCGCUAUAGCAGGGGUGAUAUCUAUCUGAGGCCUUCUAUUUGUAGGGCUGCCCUUUACAAGUGAUGAUGAUAAUUGGGUCUUACGCAACUAGAAUCUACGAACCGUGUCAGGUCCGGAAGGAAGCAGCACUAACUAGAAGCUCUGGUGUGCCGUAAGGUAGCCUGGCUUGAGUUAACUAUAAAGGUAACGCUUAUGGAUGAUUGUCGAAGUGAGAUGCGCGG
rnacentral:SRP_RNA from 1 species